rnacentral:rRNA from 1 species
GGUUAACCGUAUAGGGGAGCCGAAGGGAAACCGAGUCUUAACUGGGCGUUAAGUUGCAGGGUAUAGACCCGAAACCCGGUGAUCUAGCCAUGGGCAGGUUGAAGGUUGGGUAACACUAACUGGAGGACCGAACCGACUAAUGUUGAAAAAUUAGCGGAUGACUUGUGGCUGGGGGUGAAAGGCCAAUCAAACCGGGAGAUAGCUGGUUCUCCCCGAAAGCUAUUUAGGUAGCGCCUCGUGAACUCAUCUUCGGGGGUAGAGCACUGUUUCGGCUAGGGGGUCAUCCCGACUUACCAACCCGAUGCAAACUGCGAAUACCGAAGAAUGUUAUCACGGGAGACACACGGCGGGUGCUAACGUCCGUCGUGAAGAGGGAAACAACCCAGACCGCCAGCUAAGGUCCCAAAGUCAUGGUUAAGUGGGAAACGAUGUGGGAAGGCACAGACAGCCAGGAUGUUGGCUUAGAAGCAGCCAUCAUUUAAAGAAAGCGUAAUAGCUCACUGGUCGAGUCGGCCUGCGCGGAAGAUGUAACGGGGCUAAACCAUGCACCGAAGCUGCGGCAGCGACACUAUGUGUUGUUGGGUAGGGGAGCGUUCUGUAAGCCGUUGAAGGUGGCCUGUGAGGGUUGCUGGAGGUAUCAGAAGUGCGAAUGCUGACAUAAGUAACGAUAAUGCGGGUGAAAAACCCGCACGCCGGAAGACCAAGGGUUCCUGUCCAACGUUAAUCGGGGCAGGGUGAGUCGACCCCUAAGGCGAGGCCGAAAGGCGUAGUCGAUGGGAAACAGGUUAAUAUUCCUGUACUUGGUGUUACUGCGAAGGGGGGACGGAGAAGGCUAUGUCGGCCGGGCGACGGUUGUCCCGGUUUAAGC